CCUACGGGUGGCAGCAGUGAGGAAUAUUGGUCAAUGGGCGUAAGCCUGAACCAGCCAAGUCGCGUGAGGGAUGAAGGUUCUAUGAGUCGUAAACCUCUUUUGUAAGGGAAUAAAGUGUGGGACGUGUCCUAUUUUGUAUGUACCUUAUGAAUAAGGAUCGGCUAACUCCGUGCCAGCAGCCGCGGUAAUACGGAGGAUCCGAGCGUUAUCCGGAUUUAUUGGGUUUAAAGGGUGCGUAGGCGGCCUGUUAAGUCAGAGGUGAAAGUCUGUGGCUCAACCACAGAAUUGCCGUUGAAACUGGUGGGCUUGAGUAUGUUUGAGGUAGGCGGAAUGCGUGGUGUAGCGGUGAAAUGCUUAGAGAUCAUGCAGAACCCCGAUUGCGAAGGCAGCCUACCAAGCUACGACUGACGUUGAUGCACGAAAGCGUGGGGAGCAAACAGGAUUAGAUACCCUUGUAGUC
rnacentral:rRNA from 1 species